rnacentral:lncRNA from 1 species
GUUACUCUUCCCUUGCCUUUUAAAAGCAUGCAGAGAUGGGGGUCACCCGUGUUACUCUUCCCUUGCCUUUUAAAGCAUGCAGAGUGGGUGAGUGUUACUCUUCCCUUGCCUUAUAAAGCAUGCAGAGUGGGAGGAGUCCCCAGUGUUACUCUUCCCUUGCCUUUUAAAGCAUGCAGAGUGGGCGGAGUCCCCGGUGUUACUCUUCCCUUGCCUUUUAAAGCAUGCAGAGUGGGCGGAGUCCCCGGUGUUACUCUUCCCUUGCCUUUUAAAGCAUGCAGAAUGGGAGGAGUCCCAGGUGUGUUUGUGCUGUCUUCCCAACUGAACGACACAGGAGGUAGCAAGACAGCACAAAGAUCUGGGACUCAGGCUAUACAGAGCAAGGCUUGGGUCAAUUCCAUUUCAAUUCAGGAAUACACUGAUAUUCCAAUGCACAUUUCCUUCAAUGAUUUUCAAUGAGUAAAAAUUGUAAAUUGGUUUAUUUUCUGAAUUGAUUGGAAUUUAAAUAGAAUUGACCCCAACCCUGAGAGAGCACGUAUUUUCCCCCUAAACACCAUUUAUCUUCAAAACGAUAUGAUUAUAACACAGUGUUCUUUGGUCAAAACAAUGAAAGAAUGAACAUGAAUACUUUUAAACUGUAACACUUCUUUAAAAAUACUGACAUCGUUUUGCUUUCUUUUACUUGUGAACAUCCCAUUUAAGUAAAAAUGGGGUUUCUUACUCUUUAUGAUAUACUUUGAAUUGUUUUAAAUUCUCUAGACGAGACUGGAGUUAAAGUGCCCGUCACGGACAUGUCAUGUACAACAGAAACACUGACUUAAGGAAGGUGGGUGAGAUUUCAGUUAUUAUUGGUGUAGUUUGUGGCUACUGGCUGCAUAUACCCCAGGGGUUUCAAAAGGUGAGUGUUUGAUGAGGCACAAAAAAAAAAAAGGAACAGACAGUUGGCACAAGUAACAUUAACAACAUGAUAAGAGUUUUAGUACAAGACAACACUACAGCACAUUAAAAGGAGCGAGAACAAGAUGUUUGGGCCCCCCGUGAAGAGAGAGAGAGUAAAGAGAGGGAGAUAGUUGGGGCAGUGAUGGAGGGAGUUUAUGUCAGGCCAAUCUCCUCCAGGACACUCCGUGGGGCUUCAGCUUCCUAAAGGAGGGAGGAAACAGACAACAGGAUAGUUGAGAAGGAUAAGACACUGUAGUCAGUCUGAAGAUGGACCUGUUUGAUUGGUUUAUGGAGUGCAUACAAGAAACAGGUGUUCGAAGCCUAAAUGCAAUGACUUGAGUAACUGCUCCAACGCCACGAUUAAAUAAAGCAUAUCAGGUAGAUGUAACACUUACUUUGGCAUCCUAGCAGGAGGUGAAGCACGGAGAGAGAGAGAAAAGCACUGUUUGAAUACAACUGACCGCUAGACCAGCUGGUGUAAAUCAGAGGAGGCUGCUGGGGGGAGGACGGCUCAUAAUAAAUGGCUGCAAUGGAGCGAAUGGAAGGGUAUCANCGGUAAACUGAACCAUGGUUGUGUGUAUACUGUAGACUGAACUCUGUUGUCUCCUGG